UACGUAGGGCGCAAGCGUUAUCCGGAAUUAUUGGGCGUAAAGAGCUCGUAGGCGGUUUGUCGCGUCUGCCGUGAAAGUCCGGGCUCAACUCCGGAUCUGCGGUGGGUACGGGCAGACUAGAGUGAUGUAGGGGAGACUGGAAUUCCUGGUGUAGCGGUGAAAUGCGCAGAUAUCAGGAGGAACACCGGUGGCGAAGGCGGGUCUCUGGGCAAUAACUGACGCUGAGGAGCGAAAGCGUGGGGAGCGAACAGG
rnacentral:rRNA from 1 species